rfam:Candidate division WWE3 bacterium RBG_19FT_COMBO_53_11 rbg_19ft_combo_scaffold_7, whole genome shotgun sequence.
GGGGUAGAAAGGUGUCGACGAGCCGUGGGGCAGCCCCGGGGGAAAAGUAACCUAGCAAACUCCCCUAAAAGGCUGUGGGCUAAUGACCCAACGCGCGGUUCGGACGCGGGUUCGAUUCCCGCCUACUCCACCU